rnacentral:rRNA from 1 species
GAUGAACGCUGGCGGCGUGCCUAAUACAUGCAAGUCGAGCGAACGGACGAGAAGUUUGCUUCUCUGAUGUUAGCGGCGGACGUGUGAGUAACACGUGGAUAACCCACCUAUCUUACUGGUAUAACUUCGGGAAACCGGAUCUAAUACCGGAUAAUAUCUUGAACCGCAUUGUUCAAGAGUGAAUUACGGUCUUGCUGUCACUUAUAGAUGUAUCCGCGCUGCAUUAGCUAGUUGGUAAGGUAACGGCUUGCCAAGGCAACGAUGCAUAGCCGACCUGAGAGGGUGAUCGGCGACACUGGAACUGAGACACGGUCCAGACUCCUACGGGAGGCAGCAGUAGGGAAUCUUCCGCAAUGGGCGAGAGCCUGACGGAGCAACGCCGCGUGAGUGAUGGAGGUCUUCGGGUCGUAAGACUCUGUGAUUAGGGAAGAACAUAUGUGUAAGUAACUGUGCACAUCUUGACGGUACCUGAUCAAAAAGCCACGGCUAACUACGUG